rnacentral:lncRNA from 1 species
CAGUGAACACAGAGAACAGAGCUCUGCCUCCAUAGAGGCAGCAUCCUGGUGGAGCAAGACAGAUGACACGCAGCAUAAUUGAGUGAAACGUAGAAUGCACGAUGACGAUCAGCAUUUUGAAGUAAAGGCAGAGAAAAGAAAUUGGUAAUAAAUUUAUGCUUUUGUGUCGAGGGAGGAAGGGGAGUAAAAUCUUGAGCAGUGCAGUCAGAAAAGGUAGCACAGAGUGAAGACCUCAGGCAUUUGAGAGCCAUGUAAUCCAUUUCCUUCAUGACUGUGGAAGAAAGCCAAGAUUUUCCAUACAUGGCUCCUUCAUCUUCCACAAGUAGAGACACCCCUCAGUAUCCCCAAGGGGUUGACUCAGGACCCCCCACGGAUACCAGAAUCUGCUGACGCUCAACCCCUUGUACAGAAUGGUGACUGACGGCUGGCCUCCGUAUCCAUGGGUAUGGAACCUGCAGGUCCAGAGGGCUGACUGCAGUCAACCAGUUCAACAUCCUGACAUCAGAGUUCUUUCCUUCACCCAAAAUGUUCGCAGCAAUCAGAAGGGUUUCUUUUAUAUUGUACAUCUAGAUGUAAGUGAUUAUAGCAUUAUAACUCUGCCCGUGAAAAAUGUAAAGGGACUUAGCCAGCAUUUGAGAGCUGGGCAGAGAAAACCGAAUUUGUGUCAGCUGAGCCAGGGCCUGCCUUUUUAUUUAUUCUCUGUCCAGCCAUUAGGCUUAGUCCACAGGGCUCAGAUGAAUCACAGCUUGAGAGACUCUACCACUUGGAAACACUUUAUCCUGAGACCUGUAAAGAAGAGAACAGGAGAAAAGUCAUUUGUUUAUUAGAGAAAGAAGCAGUUUUCUAACAGUGCCCGUAUCCUUGAGCAUAUUUUGCAAGAAAAGAAUUCUCAGGAGGUCACAAAACUGAUUAGUAUCCAUGAGGAUGUAGGUUCGAUCCCUGGCCUCGCUCAGUGGGUUAAGGAUCGGGCCUUGCUGUGAGCUGUGGUGUAGGUCACAGAGGGGCUCCAAUCCCACGUUGCUGUGGCUGUGGUGUAGACUCCCCUAGCCUGGGAACUUCUAUAUGCCGCAGGCACGGCUCUAAAAAGCGGAAGAAAAAAAAAAGAAUUCUCAAUAAGCUCGAGAGGUUUAACCAUUAACUCACUUUUCUUGUAGGUAGGGGAAAUCUAGCUUUGUGAUUGUUGAUUUUCUCAUGUUUUGGGUGAUGUCCAAAGAAGGAAAGAUUUUUUUGAAAAAAUUUUAAAAAUUUGACGAGGAAGUUCCCUUUAUGGCUCAGUGGUUAACGAACCGGACUAGUGUCCAUGGGGAUGUGCGUUCCAUCCCUGGCCUCCCUCAGUGGGUUAAGGAUCCAGCAUCGCUCCACAUUGUGGUGUAGGUCGCAGGUGUGGCUCGGAUCCUGUGUUGCUGUGGCUGUGGUGUAGGCUGGCAGCUGCAGCUCUGAGAACUCCUGCAGCCUGGGAACUCCUGUAGCCUGGGAACUCCCAUAUGCCAUGGGCACAGAUCUAAAAAGCAAAACAAACAAACAAACAAACAAACAAAUAAAAAUUUGAAGAAUCUCUGUGUAUCUAUAUACACAAGAAUAAAUAUGAAAAUUAUAGCCAAAAACACUUUAUGUAUAAAAGCAUAAACUACAUAUAACUAUAAAUUUCCCUGAAAGGGGAAACCCUUUCAGAUUUCAUUUAUUCAUCCUUUUCUAUAUUCUGUCUGCAAAAUACAAUGAAAAACUCUAGAUAGUAUAUAUAAAACAAACAUAAGAAGACACUGAAAAGUGAAGAGAAAGCCAGGGAUCUUGGGACCCAAAGAAUAACUGAGCAAUGAGUUUGCUGGAUUUUCAUUUUCCCUCAUGUACCCAGAUUUAUUGUUGAAGAAACAAACAAUCUAGAAAUACCAACGGGUGCAGAAAAAAAAAAAAAAAAUCCAACAAAAACCUGCUCCCUGCUACCAAAGGACAAAGAAAGGGACAAAAGACUCUCGGACAAUAAUUGCUCUACUAUUUUUGGACCUAUCGGAGAAUGCCAACCUCCACUUGUUUCCUCUGAGGCUUGGAGAGGAUGGGAGCUAAGAACACAGGCCCACUGAAACACUGAAGUUUAAUCAUAAGACUAUAGAAGACUUCUCCUCCCUACCUAACACCACACCAACAGGGUUCCAGGAUAAUAACAGUGGCCUCCAGCUGAAAGAUCUGCAAGAGGCAAAAUAAGAGAAGAUAAAACUGAUUGAACCGAAAGGAGAAAUAGACAAAUCUACAGUUAUAGUUGGAGACUUUAACACCAUUCUCUCAACAACUUCUAGAAUAAUUAGAAAGAAAAGUAGCUUAAAAUUAAAAGGGCAUAGAAGAACUCAACCAUACCCUCAACCAAAAGGAUCUAAUUGGUAUUUAUAGGACAUUUUACUCAACAACAGCAGACUACCCAUUCUUUUCAAGUAUCCACAGAACCUAUAUCAAGAUGUCGUACCAUGGCCAUUCUAGGUUGUCUGAACUGUCAUAUACUUGUUCAUAAUUGUCCCUUAUGAUGCUUUGGGUUUCUGUGGUACCAGUUAUAAUGUCUUCCCUUAGAUUUCUAACUUUAUUCUAGUCCUCUCUCUUUUUUCUUGGUGAGUCUAAAGAGUUGCUUUUUUGUUUACUAUUUCUAAAGAGCAACUCAGUUUCACUGAUGAUUUCUAUCGUCUUUUUUUUUUUUGUCUUUUUGCCUUUUCCAGGGCCGCUUCCUGCAUCACACAGAGGUUCCCAGGCUAGGGGUCGAAUCAGAGCUGUAGCCACUGGCCUACGCCAGAGCCACAGCAACGCCAGAUCCGAGCCGCGUCAGUGACCCACGCCACAGCUCAUGGCAACGCUGGAUCCUUAACCCACUGAACGAGGCCAGGGAUCGAACCCGCAACCUCAUGGUUCCUAGUCGAUUCAUCGACUACUGCGCCACAACGGGAACUCCUCUAUUGUCUUUUUAGUCUAUUUUACUUAUUUCUGCUCUGAUUUUUGUUCCUUCCUUCCUUCUACUAACUUGAGGCUUAGUUUGUUCUUUGUCUAGUUCCUUGAGGAACAAAGAGAAAUUCAGCAGUUUUCACUGGUGAAUUCUACCAAAUUUUUAAUGAGGAGUUAGUGCUAAUAGUUCUCAAACUCUUUAAAAAAAUGUGAGAGGUAGGAACACUCCCAAACUCACUUAUGAGGCCAGCAUUACCCUGAUAUGAAGCCAAAU